ACGGGGAUUGCCUUAGUACGGCGAGUGAAGCGGCAAAAGCUCAAAUUUGAAAUCUGGUACCUUCGGUGCCCGAGUUGUAAUUUGGAGAGGGCAACUUUGGGGCCGUUCCUUGUCUAUGUUCCUUGGAACAGGACGUCAUAGAGGGUGAGAAUCCCGUGUGGCGAGGAGUGCGGUUCUUUGUAAAGUGCCUUCGAAGAGUCGAGUUGUUUGGGAAUGCAGCUCUAAGUGGGUGGUAAAUUCCAUCUAAAGCUAAAUAUUGGCGAGAGACCGAUAGCGAACAAGUACAGUGAUGGAAAGAUGAAAAGAACUUUGAAAAGAGAGUGAAAAAGUACGUGAAAUUGUUGAAAGGGAAGGGCAUUUGAUCAGACAUGGUGUUUUGUGCCCUCUGCUCCUUGUGGGUAGGGGAAUCUCGCAUUUCACUGGGCCAGCAUCAGUUUUGGUGGCAGGAUAAAUCCAUAGGAAUGUAGCUUGCCUCGGUAAGUAUUAUAGCCUGUGGGAAUACUGCCAGCUGGGACUGAGGACUGCGACGUAAGUCAAGGAUGCUGGCAUAAUGGUUAUAUGCCGCCCGUCUGAAAAAAGGGGACCAAAAAAAUAAAAAAAAAAGAAAAAAAAAAAAAAAAAAAAAAAAAAAAAACG
rnacentral:rRNA from 1 species